CUGUAGCAACAGCAUGCAAAACGGAGUAAGAGGCGCCGAUUCCACGCCAAACAUUAUUGAACCCGUGAGAGACCUUCAAGCGAUUGUUCAAUGUUAAUUGCAAGAGGAGAAGACCACUACUAGAAAAGAAUUGUAGAUGUUUAAUAAAAAUAUUAAAACAAGUCUUUUAAAGAAAUUAUGGCAAUUAACAAUCGUAAAGGACAACGUUAUCUCUGAAGGUGAUCGAAUAUGCAAUUUAGAUGAUAUAAUGAACCAUGUGAAUGCUAAAUUACGCAUAUUAGAUGGGAAACGGACAAGGUGACCUAAUCCGUGUUGUAGAGAAGGCAAUCGAUCCAUAGGAAGGAAACACUACAAUUCGCUACAAAACCAAAAGAUUUGCACAAUCAUACGUUUCCAAAAUGCUUCACGUUUUACACUAACCGAUCUAAGACUAGAGGUAGAAGAGAAGAACAGCAAAAAUUUGCACUGAUGGCAGACCUUCAACCCUUCACAGCGGACACAGACCUCAAAAAGCGACUCGAGUAUACCAGAUUAAGGCCUUAGUUCUGUCUUCGACAAAAGAAAAACCCAGCAGAAUUGAGCAGUGUGACUAAGGAAAGAGUUAAGGCAACAGAAAGUGUCGUUCUAACAUCUGUCGUGGUGAGCGUAGAAUCCGCAGACAUGAGUCUGGGUGGAGCCUUCACGGGUGCAGAUCUUGGUGUUGUAGUAGCAAGUAUUUUGAGGGCCAAGGUGGAGAAGGGUUCCAUGGGAACGGCAGUUAGCCAUGGGUCUUGUAGUCCUAAGUGAUCCGGUGAUCCAGUGCAGUCAUGGAGUGCCAUGCAUGCUGCGUGCAUGCAUAGGUGUGGGGUAGUUCAUUGGCAGCCCCCUAUAGCGAAAGGGAAUCGGGUUAACAUUCCUGACCCAGCUCACGGAGAUGGGUGGUGUCGGUCGGUCGGUGGGUUGGUUAGUUUGCAGUGCUGCUGCUGCAGGCAGCCUGCGGAGAAAUCGGCCGGCACAUGACAUGGGCGUCACCAUCAGGCGCGGUAACGCAAACGAACUCGGAGACAUCGGCAAGAUUUCCAAAGAGAGUUAUUUUUUCUUUGUAGGACGGUUAGCACCCCUGAAAUUGGGUUGUCCGGAGAUAGGGGUAUCACCUCUGUAAAGCACCACCCAUCUUGUAGUGUCCGGCACGCUCCCUUGGGCCCUUAAAAAUCUGAGGGAGGCAGUGUUAUUUUCGUGGCAGGCCGUACCCAUAUCCGCAUCAGGUCUCCAAGGCGAAGAUCCUCUGGCACUAGAAUAAUGUAGGUAGGGGAAGUCGGGAUUCUUGAUCCGUAACCGCGGAAAGAGGAUUGGCUCUGAAAGCUGAGUGGAACAAGCUAAGGAAAGAAACAAGCUAACUCAGUUUGCAGCUGGCUGAUGGACGGGCUGGCUAGCUGUUGGACCACCGCCUCCACCGCCGUCGUUGAGGUGGUGGGUGGGUGUGCAGCAUGCAGUUGAGCCCGUCCCUUGGCUGGAGGCGAGUAGGGUGAACCGUGGGCGGACCCAGAUAAAUGUGCACCUCGGUCGAUUGGUUGGUUAGUUGAUUGUCGAUGCUGCUGCUUGUUUGCUGUUCGUUGGAGAGUGGUGUGGUGCUCGGCACUACUGCUGGCUAGCCUCGUUGGGGGGUGCUUGUUUAGUGCCAAACACCCAACCCAGAACUAACAUGGACCUGAGGAAUCCGACUCUCUAAUUAAAACAAAGUUUUGUGAUGUCCACUGGUUUGUUCUAGUGCAAUGUGAUCUCUGCCCAGUGCUCUGAAGUCAAAGUGAAGAUUUUCAACCAUACGCGUGUAAACGGCGGGAGUAACUACGACUCUCAUAAGGUAGCCAAAUGCCUCGUCAUCUAACUAGUGACGCGCAUGAAUAAAAUUAAGGAGAUUUCUACUGUCCCUAGCUACCAUCUAGCGAAACCACAGCCAAGGGAGCAGGCUUGGCAGAAUUAGUGGGAAAAGAAGACCCUGUUCAGCUUGACUCUAGUCCGACUUUGUGAAGAGAUAUGGUGGGUGUAGCAAUAAGUGGUAGGCUCAGUGUGUGCUGCUGCAUACAUUCUUGUAGCGGCGCGUGCGUACGUGCCGGCGACGACAAUGCAAGACCACUCCCAUCAUCGUUUUUUUACUUAUUCGGUAGAGUGUGAUAAACAAUGUGUAUAAAGCAGUUGGAUUGGCACUGAAGCACAUGCCGACGUGUGGGCUCGAGCUCACUUGUCGACAUCUUCGGUCGCAGCUGGCUGGCCAUUGUCUGCUGCUGCUCCUGCCGCUGCUGUUGUGGUGGGUAUGUGGGUGGUGGGCAGUGGUGUUAUCGGUCGGAGUGUGUGUGCGACCCGAUCUAAAGACAUUAUCAGGCGGGGUGUUUGACUGGGGCGGUACAUCUGUCAAAUCGUAACGCAGGUGUCCCAAGAUGAGCUCAGCCAGGACAAAAACCUGGCAUGGAGUAGAAGUGCAAAAGCUCACUUGAUUUUGGUUUUCAGUACCAAUACACACCGUGAAAGUGUGGCCUAUCGAUCCUUUUGAUAAUUCCACCACAUUCCAAGUUUGACGCAAGAGUUGUCAGAAAAGUUACCACAGGGAUAACUGGCUUGUGGCGGCCAAGUGUUCAUAGCUACGUCGCCUUUUGAUCCUUUAAUGUAGGCUCUUCCUAUCAUUGUGAAGCAGGAUUCACCAAGCGUUGGGUUGUUCACCCACUAAUAGGGAACGUGAGCUGGGUUUAGAUGGUCGUGAGAGAGGUUAGUUUUACCCUACUGAUGGGCACAGUGCGUGUGAUGAGUGAAGUGUAAGCAGGUCGCUGCCAUGGUAAUCUUGUUCAGCACGAGAGGAACUGCAGGUUCAGAUAUUUGGUGCAUAUGCCUAAUCGAUCAGCCAAUGGUGCGAAGCUACCAUCGGAGGGAUUAAGACUGAACGCCUCCAUGUUUGAAUCCCAUCCAAAGAGGUAAAAAUACACUACGGCCUGCCACAUGGUGAGACAGCCACAGCACUUUCCAUUCGUCGCUUUCCUUCCCACGCAGCCAGCGUGCUGCAUCGACUGCGAAUGGUCUGGCUGGUGGUGCGAGGCCAGAGCGUAGACCACAACCUCGUGCAUCAAAUGGUCAUGAUGCUGCGUGG
rnacentral:rRNA from 1 species